rnacentral:rRNA from 1 species
GACAGAGGGUGCAAACGUUGUUCGGAUUUACUGGGCGUAAAGGGCGCGUAGGCGGCCUGCUAAGUCGGACGUGAAAUCCCUCGGCUCAACCGAGGAACUGCGUCCGAUACUGGUGGGCUUGAAUCCGGGAGAGGGAUGUGGAAUUCCAGGUGUAGCGGUGAAAUGCGUAGAUAUCUGGAGGAACACCGGUGGCGAAGGCGGCAUCCUGGACCGGUAUUGACGCUGAGGCGCGAAAGCUAGGGGAGCAAACGGG